AUGGAAUAUAGCUUUGUUUAUACAUCAACAACUAGAAAUCAGGCGUAGUGAUAAUCUCUCUUUGUUACACAAUAUCUACAGUUCAACUAUAAUGUAACAUAAACUAAUGUUAAAUGAAGAAGCUAAUGUGAAGAUUUUGCAAUGGAUCCCGCUUUUCACCUCCCAAAUCCCAAUCCAUGCAAGGAAUGCCCAUGGAUCUCAACAUUUUUUCAGUGGCCAACACAUCAUCUUCUGGAUACUUUGGACCACAUGUAGACAACAAAGAAACAAAAUAGUGCAAAAAGAACCACAUGGACCACAUGGUUUCCACCAUUCUUAACGAUGCUCCUGUUCAAUUUCCUUAUGUUGU
rnacentral:misc_RNA from 1 species